rnacentral:rRNA from 1 species
UACAGAGGGUGAGAGCGUUGUCCGGAAUCACUGGGCGUAAAGGGCGCGUAGGCGGCUUGAUAAGGUUGCGGUGAAAGCCCGGGGCUCAACCCCGGGUCGGCCGUGGCAACUGUCGAGCUGGAGCACUGUAGAGGCAGGUGGAAUUCCGGGUGUAGCGGUGGAAUGCGUAGAGAUCCGGAAGAACACCGGUGGCGAAGGCGGCCUGCUGGGCAGUGGCUGACGCUGAGGCGCGACAGCGUGGGGAGCAAACAGG